rnacentral:rRNA from 1 species
ACGGAGCAACGCCGCGUGAGCAUGAAGGCCUUCGGGUCGUAAAGCUCUGUUGUUAGGGAAGAACAAGUAUCGUUCGAAUAGGGCGGUACCUUGACGGUACCUAACCAGAAAGCCACGGCUAACUACGUGCCAGCAGCCGCGGUAAUACGUAGGUGGCAAGCGUUAUCCGGAAUUAUUGGGCGUAAAGCGCUCGCAGGCGG